rnacentral:misc_RNA from 1 species
AAAGGAGGUGGCAAGCGUUGUCCGGAAUUAUGGGGCGUAAAGCGCGCGCAGGCGGCCUCUUAAGUCUGAUGUGAAAGCCCACGGCUCAACCGUGGAGGGUCAUUGGAAACUGGGAAACUUGAGUACAGAAGAGGAGAGUGGAAUUCCACGUGUAGCGGUGAAAUGCGUAGAUAUGUGGAGGAACACCAGUGGCGAAGGCGACUCUCUGGUCUGUCACUGACGCUGAGGCGCGAAAGCGUGGGGAGCAAACAGG